rnacentral:rRNA from 1 species
UACGUAGGGAGCUAGCGUUGUUCGGAAUUACUGGGCGUAACGCGCACGUAGGCGGCUUUGUAAGUUAGAGGUGAAAGCCCGGGGCUCAACUCCGGAACUGCCUUUAAGACUGCAUCGCUUGAAUCCAGGAGAGGUGAGUGGAAUUCCGAGUGUAGAGGUGAAAUUCGUAGAUAUUCGGAAGAACACCAGUGGCGAAGGCGGCUCACUGGACUGGUAUUGACGCUGAGGUGCGAAAGCGUGGGGAGCAAACAGG